AGCGAACGCUGGCGGCAGGCCUAACACAUGCAAGUCGAGCGCCCCGCAAGGGGAGCGGCAGACGGGAGAGUAACACGUGGGAACGUACCCUUCAGUUCGGAACAACCCAGGGAAACUUGGGCUAAUACCGGAUACGUCCGUAAGGAGAAAGAUUUAUCGCUGAAGGAUCGGCCCGCGUCUGAUUAGCUAGUUGGUGAGGUAACGGCUCACCAAGGCGACGAUCAGUAGCUGGUCUGAGAGGAUGAUCAGCCUCACUGGGACUGAGACACGGCCCAGACUCCUACGGGAGGCAGCAGUGGGGAAUAUUGGACAAUGGGCGCAAGCCUGAUCCAGCCAUGCCGCGUGGAUGAUGAAGGCCCUAGGGUUGUAAAGUCCUUUCGACGGGGAAGAUAAUGACGGUACCCGUAGAAGAAGCCCCGGCUAACUUCGUGCCAGCCGCCGCGGUAA
rnacentral:rRNA from 1 species